UUGGCGAAGAAUAGCAACAAUCCCUGCCCAACAAGAGGCUCACAGUCUAGAUCAUCUUCCAGAGAUAAGCAAGAUGAAGUUCAGGAUAAAGAGGGAAAGGUUUGCUCUGGGAGAUGAUUAGGGGAUGUUAGGUAGAUUUCUAGGAGUUGGGAUUUAUGUCUAGGCAGUAAACAUCACACGAUUCAACCUGAGGUCACAACUGGACCCAGCGCUGGGAUACAAGAUCAUAUUCUUGCAGCUGAGGAAAUAGUCUGAAGAAUAUACACACGUGAAAUGAACUCUAUUUCUGGAGUUUUCCUAAGGCUGACGUGUGAUGGUUUUCUAAGUGAAGUUGAAAUUGAAGCGCGACACCACGGACACAUCUCUCCCAGAAGGGCCCAC